rnacentral:rRNA from 1 species
UAAUACGUAGGGUGCGAGCGUUGUCCGGAAUUACUGGGCGUAAAGAGCUCGUAGGCGGUUUGUCACGUCGUCUGUGAAAUCCCUCGGCUUAACCGGGGGCGUGCAGGCGAUACGGGCAGACUUGAGUACUACAGGGGAGACUGGAAUUCCUGGUGUAGCGGUGAAAUGCGCAGAUAUCAGGAGGAACACCGGUGGCGAAGGCGGGUCUCUGGGUAGUAACUGACGCUGAGGAGCGAAAGCAUGGGUAGCGAACAGG